CCUACGGGGGGCAGCAGUGGGGAAUAUUGCACAAUGGGGGAAACCCUGAUGCAGCGACGCCGCGUGAGUGAAGAAGUAUUUCGGUAUGUAAAGCUCUAUCAGCAGGGAAGAAAUAAAUUCCUUUGGACUUUUGACUGUACCUGACUAAGAACCCCCGGCUAACUACGUGCCAGCAGCCGCGGUAAGACGUAGGGGGCAAGCGUUAUCCGGAUUUACGGGGUGUAAAGGGAUCGUAGACGGCAGCGCAAGUCUGGAGUGAAAUCCCAUGGCUUAACCAUGGAACUGCUUUUGAAACUGUGCAGCUAGAGUGGAGGAGAGGUAAGGGGAAUUCCUGGGGUAGCGGUGAAAUGCGUAGAUAUUAGGAGGAACACCAGUGGCGAAGGCGGCUUACUGGACGGUAACUGACGUUGAGGCUCGAAAGCGUGGGGAGCAAACAGGAUUAGAUACCCGGGUAGUC
rnacentral:rRNA from 1 species